UUCUAAAUUGUCUUUCUGUCCUGCCUAUAUAAUAGGCAGGACAGGCAAUACAUUUAGCAAUGUAGACCAGCAUACUGGUUUUACAAUUUCCAUGUGUUGGUCUAAUAAUGGUUUUGUUAACAUUGUCUACAAUA